rnacentral:rRNA from 1 species
GACGAACGCUGGCGGCGUGCUUAACACAUGCAAGUCGAACGGAAAGGCCCUGCUUUUGUGGGGUGCUCGAGUGGCGAACGGGUGAGUAACACGUGAGUAACCUGCCCUUGACUUUGGGAUAACUUCAGGAAACUGGGGCUAAUACCGGAUAGGAGCUCCUGCUGCAUGGUGGGGGUUGGAAAGUUUCGGCGGUUGGGGAUGGACUCGCGGCUUAUCAGCUUGUUGGUGGGGUAGUGGCUUACCAAGGCUUUGACGGGUAGCCGGCAUGAGAGGGUGACCGGCCACAUUGGGACUGAGAGACGGCCCAGACUCCAACGGGAGGCAGCAGUGGGGAAUAUUGCACAAUGGGCGGAAGCCUGAUGCAGAAACGCCGCGUGCGGGAUGACGGCCUUCGGGUUGUAAACCGCUUUCGCCUGUGACGAAGCGUGAGUGACGGUAAUGGGUAAAGAAGCACCGGCUAACUACGUG